rnacentral:rRNA from 1 species
UGUGCAAAGGUAGCAUAAUCAUUAGUCUUGUAAUUUAGGACUGGAAUGAAUGGUUUAACCAAAGUGAGCUUGUCUUUUAAUAAUAUUUUGAAUUUUAUAUUUUAGUAAUAAAGCUAAAAUUAAUUUGAGGGACGAGAAGACCCUAUCAAGUUUUACAAAUUUAUAUUAUUUUUCAAUUUAAUAAACUAUUUGUUUAGCUGGGGCAGCUUAUAGAAUAAAUUCUAUUUUUUUAUUGUAAUUUUAAAUUUUGUUUUAUCCUAAAUUUUAGAAUUAAAAAUAAAUUACUGUAGGGAUAACAGCAUAAUUUCUUUAAAGAGUUCUUAUCGCAAAAGAAGUUUGUGACCUCGAUGUUGGAUUAAGAGACCUACUCAACGCAAAAGUUAAGUUAGGAAGUCUGUUCGACUUUUAAAUUCUUCCAUGAUCUGAGUUCA